rnacentral:lncRNA from 10 species
GCUCAAGCUCUUGGACUCAUUGAGGCAGUAAAAGUACCAUAUUCUGUGUUUCAAUCAAACCCCGAGUUCCUAUGUGUAGAAGGCUUGCCAGAGGGGAUUCCCUUUCGAAGCCCUACCUGCUUUGGAAUUCCAUGACUUGAAGGUAUCAUCCGUGGGAGUAAUAAAAUGAAGUUUGUUGUUAAAAAGUAAGUUCUAAGCUGGGCAUGGUGGCUCACACCUGUAAUCCCAGCACUUUGGGAGGCUGAGGAGGGCAGAUCACCUGAGGUCAGGAGUUCAAGACCAGAACUAAUUAUUUCCUACUUGCCUCCUGUAAUGGCUAGUAAAAUAAACACUAAACAGUCCCCAAAAAGAUGAUGAAGCCCUGAGAGUAAUUAAAAGAUUCCUGAAAUUGAGGUCACUGUGGAAGGUAAGGGCCAGUCC